UCUGGGAGUGGAGAGGAGGUUCAAAGGCAGUUGGUGGUGGAAAGGAGUCGUCCCCGGGUCUGUUCCGUCCAAACACUGUUGAAGCAAGACACAGAUCCGCGGGACUGGCGCGUGCUUCU